GCGUAUCUACACCGGAUGCCGCCGUGCUUCGUCCCUGGCGUCGACAGCACUUCAGAAGGCCCCGGAAUGGCAUCUGAACAAGAUACAAAAUCUGUGUACGCGAGGAGCGGCCCGAGGGGCGCAACAGGUCCUCCGAAGCCCCCGGGGGAUGAGUCCAAGAUUCCUACGCAUACCAAGAGGAUGGAGAACAAGCAAGAAAGCUUCAGUAGAUUCUUGUGGAACCCUGAUACGAAGACUGUCCUUGGGCGCACUGGAUUGUCCUGGGCCAAAAUCGCAUUGUUCUAUGUGUUCUUCUACCUGUUCUUGGCCGGGUACUUUGCCUUCAUGAUGACUGUAUUCUAUAGUACCUUGGACACGCACGAGUACGGACGGCCAAAGUACACUCCAACGGACGGUUCCCUUCUCCGCCAUCCUGGCGUGUCCAUUCGCCCAAGAACAUCCACCGAGUUCAUGUUUGCAGCCAUCUGGUUCGACUCAACGAACCCGGCCUCGUACGAAGGUUAUGUCGAAUCUCUCGACUCGUUUGUGGAACCGUACAAAAGCAACCAAAAUGUCCAAAAGCGAAGAGUCGACUGCACCGCCGGGAAACGACCGGGAGGCGUCUCUUGCAACUUUGAUAUUAGUCAGCUUGGACCUUGUGCGUCUGACAGAGCAUGGGGGUUUGAUAAAUUGGAACCUUGCAUACUUGUCAAGAUGAAUAAGCUCUUGAACUGGAUACCCGAACCGUACACGAGCAAAGAUCUCCCGGACGACGCGCCUGAGGAACUACGAACCUAUAUUCAGAAUUUAGAGAAGACUGGAAAGGACACAUCUUACACGUGGCUCUCGUGCAAACCAGUAAAAGGGGACUGUAUAUUAGAUUACUACCCAGAGCCAGGAUUUCCGCAGGUGUACUUUCCAUUUGACAACAAUCCUGGCUAUUUAUCCCCCAUCGUUGCCAUCAAGAUCAGCAACCUGACCGUCAAUCAAGACGUACACGUGGCCUGCACUCUGUGGGCCAAGAACAUUGUCCGGGAAGGCUUCCGGAAGCAAUUGAGCGAGAUCAUCUUCGUCCUUUCGCCUGAUGAUUACUGGAACUCAUAACAGCUGUGAUCCGGGAAACAUCGGAGAACUUAAGAAAGCAGAAAGAAACUGAGAAGAAGAAAGAGAAAAUGCAGCCAUAGGAGGGAAUGGAACGAUUAAAAAAAAUAAAAAAUAAAUAAAUAAAUAAAUAAAUGCACAAGUAAACUGAA
rnacentral:misc_RNA from 1 species